UACGGGGGGGGCAAGCGUUGUUCGGAAUUACUGGGCGUAAAGGGCUCGUAGGUGGCCAACUAAGUCAGACGUGAAAUCCCUCAGCUUAACUGGGGAACUGCGUCUGAUACUGGAUGGCUUGAGUUUGGGAGAGGGAUGCGGAAUUCCCGGUGUAGUGGUGAAAUGCGUAGAGAUCGGGUGGAACACCAGUGGCGAAGGCGGCUUGCUGGGCCGGACCUGACGCUGAGGCGCGAAGGCGUGGGGAGCGAACGGG
rnacentral:rRNA from 1 species